CUUCAUUAUGCGCACCAACUAUAAACCUGAUUCGUCCUCGAGAUGGUACGUGAUUCGGCUUCCGAAGCCCGAGCACGACUCGUUCCACCGUGCUGGAGGUUCUCCUUGGGGUGUUGCUUUGGUGGUGGUUUUACUACUAGUUCAACCUUAGGGGUUUCCAUACCACACACCAAGAAUAGAGUGGAGUAAUUUUGCCAAAAUAAGAGUUUUUGGAAGGAUUUGUGCAUAAGGGUCGUAUUAAAAAUGUCAUAACUUUCAACAAACAAAAUAUCUUUCAGUGAUUCAAGUUGUUUAUGAAAAGUUGGCUCGAUAUCUUUCCAAUGAGUGGUCACAAGCCCAAUUUCGAUGAAAAAUGAAAGAGAUACGGCUAUUUGAAAUCGGGUGCGUGCGUCUGCUAGAACAGCGCGACUGCUCUGUAUUGUCUGGCGCGCCCCGCUAGAUGCGCAGAAAACAUUCUGCGUACUCCAAAUUGUAUGGAGAGCCCUCUACAAACUAUAUGGAGCGCCAGUGCCACUUGACUUGUGCGGAAAUCUCUGUUUUUUUACCUUUUUGAUGAUGCAAUGUUUAAAUCUUUUGAAAGGACGGAUCCCUAACUUUUGAAGGAGGGAGAGGAGAGCUACCCUCCACAAGCUUAGUUAGAAGUUUUACUUAGGGUUUGGAGAGAGAAAAACUCUCAUCUUCUAGAGAGAGAAGUGAGAGAAACUUGUUUAAAGCUUGAAUUUUGAAGAAUCUAAGAAGCAAACUAGAAGAUUUGGAAACUCCUCAUGUUUUGUUGCUUUAUCUAUUUAUUUUCACGUCAUUUUCACUCUGUAAA